rnacentral:rRNA from 1 species
UACGUAGGGUGCAAGCGUUGUCCGGAAUUACUGGGCGUAAAGAGCUCGUAGGUGGUUUGUCGCGUUGUCCGUGAAAACUCACAACUCAAUUGUGGGCGUGCGGGCGAUACGGGCAGACUGGAGUACUGCAGGGGAGACUGGAAUUCCUGGUGUAGCGGUGGAAUGCGCAGAUAUCAGGAGGAACACCGGUGGCGAAGGCGGGUCUCUGGGCCGAUGACUGACGCUGAGGAGCGAAAGCGUGGGGAGCGAACAGG